rnacentral:rRNA from 1 species
UACGAAGGGGGCUAGCGUUGUUCGGAAUUACUGGGCGUAAAGCGUAUGCAGGCGGACUUUUAAGUCGGGGGUGAAAUCCCGGGGCUCAACCUCGGAACUGCCUUCGAUACUGGAAGUCUUGAGUCCGGGAGAGGUGAGUGGAACUCCGAGUGUAGAGGUGAAAUUCGUAGAUAUUCGCAAGAACACCAGUGGCGAAGGCGGCUCACUGGCCCGGUACUGACGCUGAGGUGCGAAAGCGUGGGGAGCAAACAGG